UACGAAGGGGGCUAGCGUUGCUCGGAAUCACUGGGCGUAAAGGGUGCGUAGGCGGGUCUUUAAGUCAGGGGUGAAAUCCUGGAGCUCAACUCCAGAACUGCCUUUGAUACUGAGGAUCUUGAGUUCGGGAGAGGUGAGUGGAACUGCGAGUGUAGAGGUGAAAUUCGCAGAUAUUCGCAAGAACACCAGUGGCGAAGGCGGCUCACUGGCCCGAUACUGACGCUGAGGCACGAAAGCGUGGGGAGCAAACAGG
rnacentral:rRNA from 1 species